rnacentral:rRNA from 1 species
AAUCAACGCUGGCGGCGUGCCUAACACAUGCAAGUCGAGCGCGAAAGGGGGCAACCCCGAGUAGAGCGGCGAACGGGUGAGUAACGCGUGGGUGAUUUGCCUCCGAGUGGGGAACAACACCGGGAAACUGGCGCUAAUACCGCAUGACAUCUUCGGGUCGUACCGGAGAUCAAAGCUGGGGACCGCAAGGCCUAGCGCUUGGAGAGAAGCCCGCGUCCGAUUAGCUAGUUGGUGGGGUAAGGCCUACCAAGGCGACGAUCGGUAGCCGGCCUGAGAGGGCGGACGGCCACACUGGGACUGAGACACGGCCCAGACUCCUACGGGAGGCAGCAGUGGGGAAUAUUGGACAAUGGGCGCAAGCCUGAUCCAGCGAUGCCGCGUGUGUGAAGAAGGCCCGCGGGGUUGUAAAGCAC